rnacentral:tRNA from 1 species
GGGGGUGUGCCCGAGCGGCCAAUGGGGCCAGACUGUAAAUCUGGUAGCUAUGCUUUCGCUGGUUCGAAUCCAGCCGCCCCCAC